rnacentral:rRNA from 1 species
AGAGUUUGAUCCUGGCUCACAACGUACGCUGGCAGCACGCCUAGCACAUGCAAGUCGAACCAUGUAUCAAUACUUAAUGGCAUACCGUUGAGUAACAUGUGGGUAUCUACCCUUUGGCCUGCAAUAACACCAGGAAACUUGUGCUAAUACCGGAUAAGUCUUUACGGAUAAAGCUUUCUGCACCAUUGGAUGAGCCCGCACUUGAUUAUUUUGUUGGUAUGGUAAUGGCCUACCAAGACUAUGAUCAGUAGCUGAUUUGAUAGGAUGAUCAGCCACAUUGGGACUGAGACGCGGCCCAAAAUCCUACGGGAGGCACCACUGGGGAAUCUUGCACAAUGGAGGAUACUCUGAUGCAGCGAUGUCUCGCGUGAGUGAACAAGGCCUUUGGGUUGUAAAGCUCUUUCGUCUGGGAAGAAAAUGACUGUACCCGAAUAAAAAAGUCCGGCUAACUUCCUGCCAUCAGCCGCGGUAAUACGGAGGGGGUUAGCGUUGUUCGGAAUUACUGGGCUUAAAGCGCACGUAAGCGGAUUACUAAGUUAUACGUGAAAUCCCACGGCUCAACCCUGGAACUGCCUUUAAUACUGCUACUCUUGAGUUCUAGAGAUGUAAGUGGAAUUCCGAGUGUAUAUGUGAAAUUCGUACAUAUUCAGACGAACACCAGUGGCGAAGGCGGCUUACUGGCUCGAUACUGACGCUGACGUGCGAAAGUGUGGGGAGCAUACACGAUUAGAUACCCUGUUACUCCACACCGUAAACGAUGAAUGCCACACCUCUGCCAGUAUACAUGCUGGUGUCACUCCUCACGGAUUAAGCAUUCCGUCUGAAGAGUACUGUCGCAAGACUUAGAACUCAAAGGAAGUCACUUGGGGCGGCACAAUCGGUGGAGUCAUCGCGGUAUAUUUCGAAGCAACGUGCAGAACCUUACACAACCCUUAGACUUCAUGUGCUACUACCAGAGAUGGUACGUUCCCGUCGGGGAGCGCAGUGACAGGCGGUGCAUGGCUGUUGUCAGACUAGUGUCGUGAGAUGUUGGGAUAAGUCCGGCAACGAGCGCAACCCUCAUCAUUCGUUGCCAUCAGGUUAUUCUGGGCAUCCUAGAGAAACCACAGAGUGAUAAGCGGGAGGAAGGUGUGGAUGACGUCAAGUCGUCUACGGCCCCAACGGGUUGGAUUACACUCGUGAUUCAAUGGCAGAGACAAUGGGUUAUUCCCCAAAAACUGUCUCACUUCGGAUUGGGGUGUGCAAUUAGACACCAUGAAGUAGGAAUUGCUCGUAAUCGAGUAACAGCAUGACGCGGCGAAUAUGUUCCCGGUCUUUCUACACACCGCCUGUCACACCAUGGGAGUUGGUUCUACUCCGACGACGCUGCGCUAACCCUUCGGGGAGGCACGCGACCACGGUAGGAUCAGAGAGUGGGGUGAAGUCGUAACAAGGUAACC